rnacentral:rRNA from 1 species
CGGGUGAGUAACGCGUGAGGAACCUGCCUCAAAGAGGGGAACAACAGUUGGAAACGACUGCUAAUACCGCAUAAGCCCACAGGUCGGCAUCGACCAGAGGGAAAAGGAGCAAUCCGCUUUGAGAUGGCCUCGCGUCCGAUUAGCUAGUUGGUGAGGUAAUGGCCCACCAAGGCAACGAUCGGUAGCCGGACUGAGAGGUUGAACGGCCACAUUGGGACUGAGACACGGCCCAG